AUUGAACGCUGGCGGCAUGCUUUACACAUGCAAGUCGAACGGCAGCGCGGGCUUCGGCCUGGCGGCGAGUGGCGAACGGGUGAGUAAUGCAUCGGAACGUGCCCAGUAGUGGGGGAUAGCCCGGCGAAAGCCGGAUUAAUACCGCAUACGACCGGAGGGUGAAAGCGGGGGACCGAAAGGCCUCGCGCUAUUGGAGCGGCCGAUGUCGGAUUAGCUAGUUGGUGGGGUAAAGGCUUACCAAGGCGACGAUCCGUAGCUGGUCUGAGAGGACGACCAGCCACACUGGGACUGAGACACGGACCAGACUCCUACGGGAGGCAGCAGUGGGGAAUUUUGGACAAAGGGGGCAACCCUGAUCCAGCCAUGCCGCGUGCGGGAAGAAGGCCUUCGGGUUGUAAACCGCUUUUGUUCGGGAAGAAAUCCUCUGGGCUAAUACCCCGGGGGGAUGACGGUACCGGAAGAAUAAGCACCGGCUAACUACGUG
rnacentral:rRNA from 1 species